GGUAUCUACCGGCGAGUUGUUCCCGCGCUGCUGCGUGCUCGUGGGGAACCUCUGAGCGCUGGCCGGCCGAGGUCGGGGAGUUUGGAAGCGCUGUGCCCACUGCUCAGUUUAAUUUGAGGAUUGGCGUGGGCGCCAUUUGGCCUGACUCUGUCUCGGGCCGGGAGGUGCUUUUGUGCUCGGCCGCGUCUUCGCCAACAAAUGUCGCUGCCCCCGGCUCGGCGUAGGUGUAUCCCAUUCAGGCACUGCUUAUCGUGAGGCUGCCAGGACUAACGCCAUGACAAGCGGCCCAGACUAGGAGUAGGCCUAAGUCUCAGUUCCCCGAAAUGGUCGACGGGAUUGAACCCUGGGUUCACUGCAAUCACGUGUGGCAAGCCACACCGGAAGAAC